rnacentral:rRNA from 1 species
UACGUAGGGGGCAAGCGUUGGUCCGGAUUCAUUGGGCGUAAAGAGCGUGUAGGCGGCCAGGUAGGUCGGUUGUGAAAACUGGAGGCUCAACCUUCAGAGGUCGACCGAAACCAUCUGGCUAGAGUCCGGAAGAGGAGAGUGGAAUUCCUGGUGUAGCGGUGAAAUGCGCAGAUAUCAGGAAGAACACCCGUGGCGAAGGCGGCUCUCUGGGACGGUACUGACGCUGAGACGCGAAAGCGUGGGGAGCGAACAGG